UCCUUGUUCUGACCUUGCCUUUUAUGGGCUGGAGCGAUAUGAUACGUGAUAUGCCACGGCGAAGUUGUCGAAGAUGCGACGGUGCUACGCUGUUAGAACAAUUCAUCGGAGCAUUCAAGUGUUACCUAUUAUAAGCUGCCAAAAGACCAAGCAGUACGAAGCCCUUGGAUGACAGUGGUGCCUGCUAAUUUCCGCUGCAAGGAUUUCGUUCACGAAUGUUAUCAUAGGUUACGCGCGACUCCAGAGGCAAUUUGGAAUAUCGGCACGAAAUCGUCUGACGAAAAUCUGAGCUGCCCGACGCAUAACAUUUUGAACGUGCCACGGAGGAUCCAGGCAAAAAACGAGAGCAAAAAAGGUGCACGCUGAAGGCGGAAAUGAAGCAUGAUCUGGCUUUCAUCUGGUGCAUGAAGAAAUUGAUGACACAUUAGUUGCAGUCUACCUCCCCCAACAUGGUGGAAAACAAAGGUCGCCAUUCCGAUUAGCUGCUAUCUCCCAGUUCAAGCACUUUUGCUGUCUGGACACUGGUUCCUGUGGAUGGGGUGUUACAAGCUUCACUGUCUGAUAUAGAAGUGAUAAGCAUCCAUCAGGACACAUGCCAGAAAGGGAGUCUCUUUGGAAUGACAAACCCUCAUCACCUCAUGAGGAUACAAUGGUUGACAACUGGUUCUCAAGCACAUCGAAACUUCAACAAAUAAUUCAUGAAAAAGCCAGUCAGUACUAUCUAUUACAGGAAUUGAACGUGGAUCCUCCUGCUACCAGUCAGAGAUGUUACAUUUCAGGCGCUCAUUGACUUUUGGUGAAUCACUUGUUGACUUUGUCCCAAGAUUGAGCUUGCCACAGCUCACUUGCCUAUCUGUUAAUGUUGUGGCGUGUGUUGCAUUUUUCUCUUUGUGUGUUCCAGACUCAGAACGGUUAAUUUGGAUCAGGUCAGGUACGUUUCAUUUAGACAUGGCAAACAUAAAGUGGUGUAUCUCAACACAACUUAGCAGUGGCCUUCAUGCAUAACUGCACACAAACACAGGACACACACACACAGGACAGACACAAACACGUCCCUUUGUGUUCCCUAGUCUCGGGGUUUUACAUAUGCAUCAUCUUCACCAGCUCGCUUGCUUCCUAGCCAUUUUUUCUGCACAUUGUUCACUCUACUUUUAUCGUGUGCUAUAUAAUCUUGUUCAAGUUCUGUCAAACGACGUUUAAUGCUAUAAAAAAAUUCAGAACACUGUGGGUUGAAUGGUAGCGCAUGAAUGCAGGAAGGAAACUGUCAUGUUAUGGCAAGUGUUUACAUAUUGUACAUUUAACUACUAAUUUUAUUGGUUAGCUUUCGCCGGCGUAUCAUGUCAAGCCAUGUUAUAUUAAUUUGGAACACGUUCUUCUUAGUAGCCAGAGCAGCUGAUAGACAGUGAGAACAUAGCCCUGUGUGUUUGUCUUUUCCACCGCAGCCCUUCGGUUUCCUCCCUGAUGGCUACACAUGUCAGGGAUAGGUUUCAGAACCAGUAGUUCCCGCCAAGUGUGAAUUGCUUUUCAGGGGAUCAUCAUGCUGGCAGAUGAAGCGUAUGGUUUAAAUUAUUUGCAGGACAGGAAUUGCGUAGCUUCACACAAAUACUACUACUACGACAUAAAAGUGGUUUCAAAUCUAGCUUUUUUGUGUUCCUGACAUUAUCGCACAAGAUGUAGUAUCCACUAUGAUCCUUUAUAUGGUUGGUAUGUACAGUGAAUCAACAGAUGCUAUUUACAAAUCUGUGUUUUCUACUGUGUUGAAAUGGGGUAGUUUGUAUCUGAGAGCCAUAGUGAAACACAGGCAGCCAAGGACAGAGCUUUGAUGCCCUCGAGAAACAUGGCAACACAUUGCAGGGACUCUGGAUGCUGCCUAAGUUUCCAGAACACACAGCUCAAGGCAGCGGUUAAAUAACAAGACAGUUGCAUGUGUAAGCAGUCCGCUGUUGGAUUUGCUUCUGUCCCAGAUACGUUAUCUCAAAGGUAACGCACGGACACACUCAGAAUGAUACUAGGACUGCCUGUGAAAUAGAAUGAGGAGAGGGGCCCUUUUUCUUGUCUGUUAUUCUAUUGGUUAAAUUGUCAUUUGCUUAGCAGCACAUAUGUGUAUAUUCCAGAGUCUGCUAAUAAAUAUAUCAGUUGAGACCUAGCAGUCGCAUUGUAGAUGUCUCAUCCUGUCCUUGGCUGCUUGUGUUUCACGAUGGCCAUGCUUGCUAUUGCAAAAACAGAAAACAAAAACGACGAUAGAAAAAUACGAAAA